rnacentral:sRNA from 1 species
UAAAAUCGCAGCCCUUAUCCGAAUAUCUUGUCAUGUGUUUUUUCAAACAAACCUAAAGACUAACAACUAUUUAACGUUCAUCUCCCUCUCUUAUAUCAGCGACAAGCUUAUCCUAUUUUGUAUUGUUUUUUUUUUUUGUUUUUUUAUAACCUUUGUUGUAUACUUGUGUUUUGUUUGUUCUUUUUGUUAUGAUGGUUUUGUUUCGUCUACAAUUCUACAUAUUCACCUUUUUGUUAUCUCAUCAAAUAUUAGAGUCAUGACAAUAAGAUAGCCAAAGAAGGGUGAGCACUGGUGUCAGGCCAACUUGAGUUAGCAAUCCAGUAGAUGUUAAAGUUGCGGUUAUACAUCCAUCGUUACAACUCUCUACCUUGCUCAAGAACAAAGUACAAGAAGAAGAACAGAGUAAUAGCCUUUAAACCGGCCAACAACUUGUUAACCCGAACCAAAACCGGCUUCGAUUUGAUCUUGGUUAAAAUGCAACCCGAAGCCUCUGCGUCGUCUAGAGUCUUUCACUUCCACUUAAGUUGAACCCGGCAUAACCGCAGCAUUCUGGAUUUUGUGCUAACCCAAACCCUUUAUUUGAAACAUCUCUCAACAAGUUUGCAUCAAUCUUAUGUGAGGCACCUUGUGUCCGCAUAAUGUGCACCGUUAUCAAAUGGCUUGUCAUAUCGUCGUCGAUCUUCAAGCUACAUAUGAUCUUCAUUAACUUAUUCUCAUGAAGUCAGGAUUAAGAAUAGCUUGUGUAAGUGUGUAAAUGUGUGUUAUAAAGAGCAAACACUUGAUAUUAAAUAUAUUUUUGUUGUUCAUUCCCAAAAUAGAACCUUUUUCUUAUUAGGAC